AGAGUUUGAUCCUGGCUCAGGAUGAACGCUAGCUACAGGCUUAACACAUGCAAGUCGAGGGGCAGCAUGAACUUAGCUUGCUAAGUUUGAUGGCGACCGGCGCACGGGUGAGUAACACGUAUCCAACCUGCCGAUGACUCGGGGAUAGCCUUUCGAAAGAAAGAUUAAUACCCGAUGGCAUAGUUCUUCCGCAUGGUAGAACUAUUAAAGAAUUUCGGUCAUCGAUGGGGAUGCGUUCCAUUAGGUUGUUGGCGGGGUAACGGCCCACCAAGCCUUCGAUGGAUAGGGGUUCUGAGAGGAAGGUCCCCCACAUUGGAACUGAGACACGGUCCAAACUCCUACGGGAGGCAGCAGUGAGGAAUAUUGGUCAAUGGACGAGAGUCUGAACCAGCCAAGUAGCGUGAAGGAUGACUGCCCUAUGGGUUGUAAACUUCUUUUAUACGGGAAUAAAGUGAGGCACGUGUGCCUUUUUGUAUGUACCGUAUGAAUAAGGAUCGGCUAACUCCGUGCCAGCAGCCGCGGUAAUACGGAGGAUCCGAGCGUUAUCCGGAUUUAUUGGGUUUAAAGGGAGCGUAGGCGGACGCUUAAGUCAGUUGUGAAAGUUUGCGGCUCAACCGUAAAAUUGCAGUUGAUACUGGGUGUCUUGAGUACAGUAGAGGCAGGCGGAAUUCGUGGUGUAGCGGUGAAAUGCUUAGAUAUCACGAAGAACUCCGAUUGCGAAGGCAGCCUGCUGGACUGUAACUGACGCUGAUGCUCGAAAGUGUGGGUAUCAAACAGGAUUAGAUACCCUGGUAGUCCACACAGUAAACGAUGAAUACUCGCUGUUUGCGAUAUACAGUAAGCGGCCAAGCGAAAGCGUUAAGUAUUCCACCUGGGGAGUACGCCGGCAACGGUGAAACUCAAAGGAAUUGACGGGGGCCCGCACAAGCGGAGGAACAUGUGGUUUAAUUCGAUGAUACGCGAGGA
rnacentral:rRNA from 1 species